ACUACUCGCCCUAACCCAAACAAUCAUAAUCUAAUCUACAUUCCGGCCNNNNNNNNNNNNNNNNNNNNNNNNNNNNNNNNNNNNNNNNNNNNNNNNNNNNNNNNNNNNNNNNNNNNNNNNNNNNNNNNNNNNNNNNNNNNNNNNNNNNCUCUAGUUUCAGUCUUCUUCCAUACAGCAUGAUGUUCAUUUAGUAACUGAUGGUCCCAUUUAGAGUAAAACAGACCAUAAAGCAGGGUAUGCUUUAGGGCGGGGCUACCUUGUGAUUGACAGCUCAUUCUCAGUGAGUCCGUCCAGCUCAACCAAACUCAGAUCAAACUGUCAAACAGUGCUGAUCAGAUAUGGAUCCAGAUUCUGUUGUUGACUAUUUCUCUCCUCAGAUCUGUUCACAAACACAUUUUACUGUUUAUCUGGAAUACCAGAUCCUGUGUGAGCAGGAGAGCCGCCAAUGACAGCAGCUCAACUCGCUGUACGUGACCUCUGCUGGCUGCUAAACACCAACAUGGAGAUGACCAUAAAGCUCAACUGGAGGUUCAGAGCUCCACAGACCGAUGGGGGACCACAGAGUCUCAGUUGGUUAUUCUGUCGCUGCAGGUGUAGUUUAGGUUUAUAUAUGAAUGUAAUAUGUGUGUGUGUGUCAGUGAGGCAGAGCUGAGUGUCGCCGUGGGAACCGUCUGCAGGAAUCCAGCACAUCAGUUACCAUAGAAACUGUGUUUCCAUAAUAGAAACAGUCAGUGUGUGUGUGUGUGUGUGUGUGUGUGCGUGUGUGUGUCCUGCAGUAGUUUAUUUUUGUCAUCAGCACUUAUAAUGCUAAUAAUGCUAAUAAUGAUAAUAAUGAUGAUGAUAAUGAUAAUUGUAAUGUUCAGAUAAUAAAGGUUUCACAUGUUUAUCACGUGUAGUUUGUAACUCAGGAACAUUUGACUGAAUGUGUGCCAAUGUGAAUUAAUUAACAUGUUGACAUUAUCAUGUGAACCUUUUAAAAUUAAAUAAAGAGACUGAUUGAUGGUUUUUUGAUCAGUUUCGGACUGAAUGCUAGCUGUAGUUAGCAGUAGCUAACAGUCUGUUUGCAGACAGUAUUUCCCGAGAUGUUAUUAAUGCUGUGUCAUGUGUCAGUAGAUGUUAUUAAUGUGUGUCAGUAGAUGUUAUUAAUGCUGUGUCGUGUGUCAGUAGAUGUUAUUAAUGCUGCGUCGUGUGUCAGUAGAUGUUAUUAAUGCUGCGUCGUGUGUCAGUAGAUGUUAUUAAUGCUGCGUCGUGUGUCAGUAGAUGUUAUUAAUGCUGUGUCGUGUGUCAGUAGAUUGUUAUUAAUGCUGUGUCAUGUGUCAGUAGAUGUUAUUAAUGCUGUGUCGUGUGUCAGUAGAUUGUUAUUAAUGCUGCGUCGUGUGUCAGUAGAUGUUAUUAAUGCUGUGUCAUGUGUCAGUAGAUGUUAUUAAUGCUGCGUCGUGUGUCAGUAGAUGUUAUUAAUGCUGCGUCGUGUGUCAGUAGAUGUUAUUAAUGCUGUGUCGUGUGUCAGUAGAUGUUAUUAAUGCUGCGUCGUGUGUCAGUAGAUGUUAUUAAUGCUGCGUCGUGUGUCAGUAGAUGUUAUUAAUGCUGCGUCGUGUGUCAGUAGAUGUUAUUAAUGCUGUGUCGUGUGUCAGUAGAUGUUAUUAAUGCUGCGCGGUGUGUCAGUAGAUUGCUAUUAAUGCUGUGUCGUGUGUCAGUAGAUUGUUAUUAAUGCUGUGUCGUGUGUCAGUAGAUGUUAUUAAUGCUGCGUCGUGUGUCAGUAGAUGUUAUUAAUGCUGUGUCGUGUGUCAGUAGAUGUUGUUAAAGCUGCGUCGUGUGUCAGUAGAUGUUAUUAAUGCUGUGUCGUGUGUCAGUAGAUUGUUAUUAAUGCUGUGUCAUGUGUCAGUAGAUGUUAUUAAUGCUGUGUCGUGUGUCAGUAGAUUGUUAUUAAUGCUGUGUCGUGUGUCAGUAGAUUGUUAUUAAUGCUGCGUCGUGUGUCAGUAGAUGUUAUUAAUGCUGUGUCGUGUGUCAGUAGAUGUUAUUAAUGCUGCGUCGUGUGUCAGUAGAUGUUGUUAAUGCUGCGUCGUGUGUCAGUAGAUGUUAUUAAUGCUGUGUCGUGUGUCAGUAGAUUGUUAUUAAUGCUGUGUCGUGUGUCAGUAGAUGUUAUUAAUGCUGCGUCGUGUGUCAGUAGAUUGUUAUUAAUGCUGCGUCGUGUGUCAGUAGAUGUUAUUAAUGCUGCGUCGUGUGUCAGUAGAUGUUAUUAAUGCUGCGUCGUGUGUCAGUAGAUGUUAUUAAUGCUGCGUUGUGUCAGUAGAUGUUAUUAAUGCUGUGUCGUGUGUCAGUAGGUGUUAUUAAUGCUGCGUUGUGUCAGUAGAUGUUAUUAAUGCUGCGUCGUGUGUCAGUAGAUGUUAUUAAUGCUGCGUUGUGUCAGUAGAUGUUAUUAAUGCUGUGUCGUGUGUCAGUAGAUGUUAUUAAUGCUGCGUUGUGUCAGUAGAUGUUAUUAAUGCUGUGUCGUGUGUCAGUAGAUGUUAUUAAUGCUGCGUUGUGUCAGUAGAUGUUAUUAAUGCUGCGUCGUGUGUCAGUAGAUUGCUAUUAAUGCUGUGUCGUGUGUCAGUAGAUGUUAUUAAUGCUGCGUCGUGUGUCAGUAGAUGUUAUUAAUGCUGCGUCGUGUGUCAGUAGAUUGCUAUUAAUGCUGCGUCGUGUGUCAGUAGAUGUUAUUAAUGCUGCGUCGUGUGUCAGUAGAUGUUAUUAAUGCUGCG
rnacentral:lncRNA from 15 species